rnacentral:misc_RNA from 1 species
GAACUUGGAAGCUUAGUUAUUGUAAAUAGCCAAGACCCGAGAGUAGUAAUGUAAGGUUUUGCUGUCUACUUUUUUGUUUCUUAUUUUUUUCCUUAUCUAUCUCUUGCUAGAGUUCGGGCUAUGAAGUUUACAUUUUGGAAGCUACGUAUAAGGACCCUGCAGGCUGUGCAGCAAGGAAUGUGCAUGGGUUUAACCUCGAUGAUAUACAAAAGAUGGCUAGACAAUGGGAAGAAGCUCCGCCUUUGUACUUAAAAUUGGACAUCAAGUCCUUAUGUCAUGGGGAUGACCUUAAAGAAAGUGGAAUUCAGGAGGUUGACAUGGAUAUGGA